GAGGAUGAUCGCCACAUUGGGACUGAGACCCGGCCCAAACUCCUACCGGAGGCAGCCUGGGGGAAUAUUGGACAAUGGGCGCAAGCCUGAUCCAGCCAUGCCGCGUGAGUGAUGAAGGCCCUAGGGUUGUAAAGCUCUUUCACCGAUGAAGAUAUUGACGGUGUCCGGAGAAUAAGCCCCGGCUAACUUCGUGCCAACAGCCGCGGCAAUACAAAGGGGGCUAGCGUUGUUCGGAAUUACUGGGCGUAACGCGCACGUAGGCGGAUCGAUCAAAUUAGGGUGAAAUCCCAGGUCUCAACCCUGGAACUGCCUUUGAUACUGUCGAUCUGGACUAUGGAA
rnacentral:rRNA from 1 species